UUUUUAAUAUUUUAUUUACAAAAUUAGUACAUUUGGUAUCCUAAUCCGCACAACUAUCACGCGGUAGAAAGAUUUUUCCAUUCGAUAUUUUAAUCAUUGUCGACUUUCUCUCGAGUUCUUCAACCAGUAUAACUCCAUUCGAGGACUUUCUCUCUCUCCGUCCUUCACUCCUCCAAAUUACGCCAAUCCUCCGUAAAACCAUUCUCUGUUAUCACUUCCAUUAAUUAACCCACCAUUGUUACAAUAAACAUGAACCAACAAGGGUACUUUUUUCAAGUUCUUGUCAAUCUCAACUACUGAACCCAUCAAGAUCAUCGGAAAAAAUAGAAUCUUUCCCUUGAAACAAUUUACAAUCUUCUUGAUUUAUAAGUCUGUUACAAGAUUAUAAAUCAUUAAACCACCAUGGAUGAAAAGAUUCAUAGAGAAGAUGGGUUUAUGAAUUCGGAAUUGGGAAUCGAUACAAAUUUAUUCAAUCGAGAAAUCUGACUCGAUCGAAGACGGUGAGGAUUACGAGUUCAUGCCGAUAUUAUUUAAUUGGAAAUCCAAAAACACUAAAAUCCUUGUAUUUGUAUGAAGGUUUGACUAUCUACUGCAUCAUAUUCAAAAUAAUUUUAUUUUUAAAAUGUUAUUUAUAAGUAACGAGCAGCUACAUAAAUGAGAACUCUUAC
rnacentral:lncRNA from 1 species